UUGAAGGACCAGUUCCCGUACGAUCAUCGAAGUUAAGCAACGUCGAGCCUGAUCAGUACCUAGAUGGGUGACCGCUUGGGAAUGCCAGGUACAGUA
rnacentral:rRNA from 1 species